GGGUUGGCAUGGGAAGAAUUAUCUCAUACCACAUUCUAUUUGUGAAGUGCAACCUUGCUGGUCCUAACUUGCUUGUGUGGAGUUUGCUUUCUAUGUUUCAAUAGGUUAUGGGCCCACACUCUCUUACCAAGUAAGUUGUUCUUGCAUUAUUUUCUUUGUUGCUUACUUUGGUGGUUGGGAUCUAAUGGUAGAAUGUUGCUAGUGUGUUGUUGAAGUCAUUGCUCCUGGAUUUGUGAGUAUAUGAGUUUUGUGCAAGACCUUGAUAGUGUCUUUGCUGAAGUAACACUAGUGUUUGAAAGUUUCAUGAGAUAGUGAGUCAUUUUGAGUGGAGUGACGUGAGGGAGACUUAUGAGAGCCAUAGAAUUACUUUACAAUUCAUUCCCCACCAUUUAGACGUGAUUUGGACUCAUAAUUUACAAAAAGUUGCAAAACAGCGAAUUCUGGGUUUGUGGUUCAGCGAUCUUUGAGUAGUGAUAUCUUCUCCAUUACAACUCCAAAUCAAGAGUUUUUUGGACCUACGUGUAGCUUGAGAUGGCAUCUUUUGAGGGUGAUAGCUUGAGAAUGGUUGAAAAGUUCAAAGGUGACAACUUUCACCACUGGAAGGCCAAAAUGGAGCUACUUUUGGCGUCAUUGGAUCUUUGGGAGAUUGUAUGUGAGGAAGAAGAGGCACCUGGAUUAGAGGCAAGCAUGAAGGAGCAAAAGGACUUCAAAAGACGAGAAAAGAAGGCUUUUGGCAUAAUUGCCACCAAUUUAGAUGAGAGCAACUUUGCUCAUGUCAUUUCUUGCAAAGGAGCUGCAGAUGCAUGGAAGACUCUUUGCAAUGUCUAUGAGAGUAGGAAUCUUUCCAAUGUGCUAUGGUCAAGGCAAACGUUCUUCACCGUGAACAUGGAAGAAGGUGAAGAUCUCAUGGCUCAUGUAAAUAAGGUAAAAGCACUUGCAAACCAACUUGGUGUUGUUGACAAGCCUUAACAUGAAGAAGAUGUUGUGAUGACAUUGCUCUCAAGCCUUCCGGACUCCUAUUCCUCCCUCAUUGUGGCAUUGGAGUCCAUUUCAAGGAAAGACCUUACUUUGGACUGUGUCACGGCAAGAUUAGCCGAUGAAGUGACCAAAAGAAAGCAAAAGAAGUCUAUUGGGGAGCAAUCAGCAUUGUUUACAAGACCAAGUAAGGCAAGUGCUCCUUUUCAAUGUUAUCCUCCUAAAACUUGUUACAUUUGUGGAAAACCAGGCCAUUUUGUUAGAAAUUGUUUCAAGGCAAAGAAAAGAGAAAGGCAGAAUGCCAACAUUGCUUUUCAUGACCAUGGAGGUGAAGACUUUGCAUUUAUGGCAAAACAAACUCCUUCCAUGUUUGAUAUGAGCAAAUGGAUUGUGGAUUCCGGAUGUACCAAAUACAUGACUCCAUACAAGUGUUCAUUUAACACUUAUCAACCAAUUCAAGCAACCAAGGUUUGGUUAGGUCAUAAUUGUAUGAUACAAGCCAUUGGAAUAGGCACCAUUGUAGCGGAGGUGGUGGUGAAGGGCAUAAGCAAGAGAAUCACUCUCAAGGAUGUGUUGCAUGUGCCAAAGAUGAAGAAGAACCCCCUUUCCGUGAGUAAACUUAUAACUCAUGGGUACAAAGUGCAAUUUAACAUGAAUGGAUGUUGUGUGAGAACCAUGGAAGGCAAAGAAGUAGCAAAAGGGACUAGAAAUGGCAAUCUCUAUAUUAUCAAUUGCAAGAGGAUCAAUGGAGUGAAGGUUGCUGCCUUUGCUGAAUUUCCAUCAAAUGAAGAGAAGAUGGGCAUUUGGCAUCAAAGACUUGAGCAUUUGAAUGCCAAAAGCAUGAAGGGGCUUCAAUCCAAGGUAAAUGGCAUAGACCUUGGCCAUUCUACCAUGAAUCUUGCUUGUAAGAGAUGCAUUCAAGGCAAACAACAUAGAACUCCAUUUCCUAGAGGAGUUGCAACAAGAGCAAACCAAUUGCUGGAGCUUGUGCACUCCGAUGUUUGUGGAUCCAUGAGGGCACCAUCUAUGAGUGGUAGUGAAAAGUGGGAGAUGUGUCCAAGUGGGAAUAGUGGUAUAUUUGUGGAAACAUCCUUAAUUCCAACAAACAAACAAGAAGAUGAAGAAGUGCAUUCUCAAAGUGAAGAAGGAGAGGAAGUUGCCAUGAUAGAAGAGUCCAAUACUAUGAAGACUACAAUUCCAGCAAGAUAAAACAAGGAUAUUGAAGAGAAUGAAGAUGAAGAAUACCAACAAAUGAGUAAGAGAAAGCACUCCAUGAGUCAUACAAGGCAGCAAGAGGUGCAAGAAGGCUCAUCUUCUUUGCAUGAAAGAAGAUAUCCAACACGUGAGAGAAGACCACAAGGUGAAUGGUGAAAGAACCACAUCUUUCUACAACAAUUGGAUGUAAGAGGGUGCUUAGAACCAAGAGAGAUGUAAACCAUUGAAGGUCAACAAUAAGCUAUGUAUUCUUUGUUUGAGUGGAAGCCAUAUCUUCGAAUGGCAAUAGACAACCAAACAUUGCAAGGUCCACAAUAGGGGCGGAGUAUUUGGCAGCAAGUCAUAAAGCAAUGGAGGCAUUUUGGUUGAGGUUGUUAUUGGAAGAUAUUGGACUUGUGUAAUUGGAGGCUACUCCAUUGAGGUGUGACAUCAAAGAUGUCUUGCUUUUACAAAGAAUCCAAAGCAUCAUGCAAGAACUAAGUACAUUGAUAUUCAGCAUCAUUUCAUAAGAGAGAAGAUAGAGAUGGAAGUUAUUGAUAUGAUGUAUUGUGAAACCAAAGACAUGUUGGCUGAUUUGUUGACAAAAGCCUUAGUUAGAGAAGGACACAACAAGUUGAGUAAGGCAUUAGGAUUGAUAGCUAAUUGACCAAUAGCAUAGUGGGAGUGUUGAGAAAAGAACUCUUUAAGUAGUUGCUAAUGGUCAAUAGAGUAAAAGUGUUGUUAAGGAUAUCCCAUAAGGUAGGGUGCUGGUCUAUAGUACAUUAGAGUACAAGGGGAGGGCUGGUCCUAGGAGAUAUCCCAUAUGGAUUGUAGCACCUUGGUACUAGUAUAUUACAAAAGGGUUGGCAUGGGAAGAAUUAUCUCAUACCACAUUCUAUUUGUGAAGUGCAACCUUGCUGGUCCUAACUUGCUUGUGUGGAGUUUGCUUUCUAUGAUUCAAUAGGUUAUGGGCCCACACUCUCUUACCAAGUAAGUUGUUCUUGCAUUAUUUCUUUGUUGCUUAUUUUGGUGGUUGGGAUCUUAUAGUAGAGUGUUUCUAGUGUGUUGUUGAAGUCAUUGCUCCUGGAUUUGUGAGUAUAUGAGUUUUGUGCAAGACCUUGAUAGUGUCUUUGCUGAAGUAACACUAGUGUUUGAAAGUUUUAUGAGAUAG
rnacentral:lncRNA from 1 species